CGUAGGUAACCUGCCUGGUAGCGGGGGAUAACUAUUGGAAACGAUAGCUAAUACCGCAUAAGAGUAGAUGUUGCAUGACAUUUGCUUAAAAGGUGCAAUUGCAUCACUACCAGAUGGACCUGCGUUGUAUUAGCUAGUUGGUGGGGUAACGGCUCACCAAGGCGACGAUACAUAGCCGACCUGAGAGGGUGAUCGGCCACACUGGGACUGAGGCACGGCCCAG
rnacentral:rRNA from 2 species